UACGGGGGGAGCAAGCGUUGUUCGGAUUUACUGGGCGUAAAGGGCGCGUAGGCGGCCACCGCAAGUCGGUUGUGAAAUCUCCGGGCUUAACCCGGAAAGGUCAAUCGAUACUGCGGGGCUAGAGUGCAGAAGGGGCAACUGGAAUUCUCGGUGUAGCGGUGAAAUGCGUAGAUAUCGAGAGGAACACCGGUGGCGAAGGCGGCAUCCUGGACCGACACUGACGCUGAUGAGCGAAAGCCAGGGAGCAAACGGG
rnacentral:rRNA from 1 species